rnacentral:rRNA from 1 species
UACGAAGGUCCCAAGCGUUGUUCGGAAUCACUGGGCGUAAAGGGAGCGUAGGCGGCGUGGUAAGUCAGAUGUGAAAUCCCGGGGCUCAACCCCGGAACUGCAUCCGAUACUGCCAUGCUUGAGGGUUGGAGAGGUAGCUGGAAUUCUCGGUGUAGCAGUGAAAUGCGUGGAUAUCGAGAGGAACACUCGUGGCGAAGGCGAGCUACUGGACAACAUCUGACGCUGAGGCUCGAAGGCUAGGGUAGCGAAAGGG